rnacentral:snRNA from 1 species
GUGCUCACUUUGGCAACACAUAUACUAAAAUUGGAAUGAUACAAAGAAGAUUAGCAUGACGCUUGCACAAGGAUGACAUGCAAAUUCGUAAAGCAUUCCAUAUUUUG